UUUCCGUAGGUGAACCUGCGGAAGGAUCAUUACAGAGUUCAUGCCCUCACGGGUAGAUCUCCCACCCUUGAAUAUUUAUACCCUAGUUGCUUUGGCAGGCCGUGGAAACACCAUGGGCUCCGGCUUAUGCGUGCCUGCCAGAGGAAACAAACUCUAUUUUUAGUGAUGUCUGAGUACUAUAUAAUAGUUAAAACUUUCAACAACGGAUCUCUUGGUUCUG
rnacentral:misc_RNA from 1 species